CCUUCACUAACGAUGGAAAAUACGGUUACAAACUCUCUUCUUCUUGCCUAUCAGUUUACAAAAAAUUUCCUCUUAACUGUAAUGAUCCCAUUGCUACCAAUUUAGAAAGGAAACAUAAAGUUACAAUUUUUGAAAGUGGAAAAAAAAUAUGUAGCCGCCUAGAAACAAUCCACUGAAAUGAUCACCCUACCCUUUACAAAAUGAAAGAUCCCUGUGAUCAAUGCCAUACAUAUGCUCUCAUUGACUUAAUACAGGGGCCACACGUUUGGGACAACAUUUAUCUUCCUUUUUGGAAAUUACACCAAGUAAACCCUAGAUAUACCAAACAUUGAAGGCUCACAACCCAAGCCACAUAAUACAAGACAUUAAGCCCCAACAUUACCUUGCAUGGAUUAUCCCAUCCUAUGAUGCACACAAAUAGGAGACGUUGGUUGGCAGAAGCUUCAAUAAGUGUAUCAAUCGGUUAGUUUAAACCGGUUUUGAUCAGUCUAAAUUGGUUUUGAUAUGUUACUGGACCAACUUCAAAUCAAUUGGUUGGUUUCAACCGGUUGUGGUCAGGCUGAACUGGUUUUGAUAUGUUACUGGACCAAGUUCAAAACCAAAUGUCACUGAAGUUUUGGUUUCAAUCCGAUUUUUUGUCAGUUUUUUUUUUUUUUUUUUUCAUGUUAUAUUAUCCAGUUCGGUAUGGUUUGGUGUCACUUUUACAUGUAUACAUAAGGAAAUCAAUAGGAAAAGUAUGCGUUUCUUUGUUUUUGUUUUUCAGUUUACUAUUGGUCCGAACUCAAAUUUAAUCAGGUUCAGUUUGUUUUUCUGGUUGAUUUGAAUUCGAUUUCUACUGGUUUCAUAAACCUCAACCAAUAGGGUUUGAUUCAUUUCUAUUCAGCCUAAACCGAUCAAUUUCGAUCAGUCCGAUCGAUUCCGGUUGAACUUUGACAUCCAUAAGCUUGGAGGAAGAAUUUUCUUUUAGACUACAAUACCCUCUUUAGGUUGAUGUAAUCACCAAAGAUACCUUCGCAUUGGCGUGGGUUAGCCCAACCACCAAGCCCCGCACUUGCGUGGACAUCCCAGGGAUUAGGGAUUAGGGAAUGACGAGUUCAUCUUUCGAGUCUCCCUGGACUUCAUCUCCAGCGAUACCUCCGCCGUCUCCGUCGAGAUCUACGUCGUCGGCUGCCUCAAAGAUCCCCUCAUCGGUACCGUCAGGUUCAUGGUUAGGAACUGCCUCUCCGGGUUUGAAAGCGAGAGGUUUCGAUUUUGACCCGAUCAACCGACCCAAAUCCGAGCUUCAUCCUCUCUCUUUACUGCAGUACUGUACACUGUACCCUGCAAGACUGCAUCCCAGAAGUACUUUCUACUGCAUAGUCCAAUGGGAGGAGAGAGGGCCGCUCAAAACCAUAGACCUAGUUUUCCUUUUCAUUUCUACCCUUGCGCCCUUUCUUUUUCUUUUUCUUCUUCUUCUUCUUCCCUGAAACCGUUUAUUUUCUGCCAUUUCUAUUUUCCUUGGGACGAUCUCGGGUUGAAGACAAGAAUCAAGGCAGCAGCUUGGUUUUCUUUUGUAAAACCAUUUACAAAUGGAACCAGAUAUUGAUUCUGUAAUUGCUCAGAUUCAGCUGAAUAUAAAAAAUAAUUAUCAUGAACCAAUCGUACACUCAGUUGCUUGGUCUGAGGAGAUAUAUUCUAGAAAUUUUAGCUACCACAGGCACAACGAAGGUAGUGUUUCAUGGGAGACUUGUAGAACAUAUGCGGACGUUUUGACAUCAACUACAUCUGAUUUUAUAUUGAAACCAUGGACGUGCACUCGAGUUGAUGGACCCGACCUUUUAGUCUUUCAAAAAGUCAAAUCGUUGGAUGAAUACAUGAACGCUUUAACAGAACCUGUCAUUGUAGAUACGCAUUAUGGACCUCUUUAUGCUUCUAAUGAACUACAACAUAUAAUCAGGAUUAUAGUGAAAGGUUUGGAAGAUAUACAGAAUUAUAAUUUGAAGAUUGUAGAUAUUCCGAGUUCAGUUGUCAUAACUGAUUGUAAUAAAGUUAAGUUUAUUCAGCUUAUCAAAGGAGAUGAGGUGGAUAGUUUCAAUGGGUAUCUUCAACUAAUUGAAGUAAUGAGCCUUGAAAUUCCAUAUUUGAGACAGUUGGACAAUUUCAGAUCUCUACUGCGGACGACGUAAGAUUUGAUUGCAAAGAUUCUUAGGAUUCCUAGUGUAAUGCAUUAUGUAAUACUCAUGAACGUUCAAAUUAGGGGGUUUCAGCUAAAAUCAGAUAGUUAAAACAAGAGAUAUUGGUAGUUCCUAGUGACAAAUUGAGUUGAGUUUUUUAGGUUGUUUACUCUCUAUCCGAUUGAAAUUUUACAAUAUUUUAUCCACUGGAUUAAUAUACUUUGGUGUCUAUUCUACUUAUCAAUUAGCUUAUUUAUUUGUAAUGUUUAUUUAUUUAAUUUUUAAUUUAUUACUAUUUAAUCUUACUUGCUAAUUAUUUUGCGGUUCUUUUGAAAGAUUCUAUGGACAUCCAUUUUUUUGGAAGAAGGAUGAUAGAUUUAAAUACAUCCUGACGUUACAUGCGAUACUAAUUGGUGAAGAUUAUAGAUUUGGUCAACAAACGAUUAAUAGGAUUGGUGAUUUAGUACGAGAUGUGGUACUUGAUAUAGAAUAUCAAAGUGGAUUGCAAUGGACGGAUAUGGUUCCAACGUGGCGGCCAUAACGUGAUGUUAUUCUCUGAACACCUUUUCAUGACUGGAAGCUCCCCCCCCCCCCUUCUUUCUAAAUGAAAUCUAUUUUGCUGAUAUUUCUAUGUUAUUAUUUCUUCUGUCUUGGGGUGUCAUGUUUCUUAUAUUACUUGGUUAGUACCAUUAUAUGGGCCUAGAAGUUUGCUUUUAUAUGUGUAUGUGUGCUUCUAUCUUACGUACAUGUUAAGACUGAAAAGUUCUUCAUUUGAAGGUCUCUUAUUUUUUUGCUAUGCUUUUGUUUCUGGCACUUUUUUCCUGUUAAAACUACUUUUUGUUCUGAGGUUUGAAGAUGCUAUACCUGGUAUUUGGGUAGCAUCCCUAUUUAAGAUCAUUUAUUUACUGACUUGUUGCAUUACUAUAGUCUGAAAAAAAUGAUCUAAUGAUCUUUGUAUGGAAGAGAUCUGCAAAAAAGAAAAAUAAGAUGAAAUAAAAUAAAAUCUGAAGCUACCUUUGUUUGUAGUUCUUAAUUUCUGUCUAAACAAGGUUGAAUGUUUGAGGCAAAGAGUUAGAAAGGGGUGGUAAAGCUCUGCUUUUUUUUUUUUUUUUUUUUUCUGGCCAAGAGUAAAGCUUUGUUAUUGUUGUUUAAAGGAGCUUUGGCUGUAUUCGACUUUUCUGUUUUUUUCCCCCUCUGUUUUCAUCUUAAAGAAAGAUUUUGCUGGUGUCAUCCAUCCUUGAAGCUCAUAAUGAUGAAAAUUUUGUUUGUUCUAUGCUUUCUAGGAUUUGCUAAGGUAUUAUUGACUGAUACAUAAACAGCCGAAGGGCAGAAGUAACAGAUGAUAUAUUUUUUUUUAGAUACAUCACUGCUAUAUUUGAUGAGAACCUUACACAUGUUAAUAUGUAUUUUAAUGACAGAUUCAGGACAACCAUUCAAGCUAAUUUCUUACAUCAAAAAUCUAUACGACCAUCAUUGGUGUUGUUACGAUGAAAUAGAUUAUGGGAUCUAUCCAAUAUUUCCAAGCCUUCUUUCCCAAAUAUAUACACGUCUUUGGGGAUUGUUUCCUCUUCCACAACUACAAAUAGAAGGGUUCAUUCCUUGCCCACAAUGAGAAGAAUGAUUUUUGUCUCUAGCUGU